UGGGAAAAACGUAAUCUUUUGAGCCAAAACCUAAAAGGUCGUCUUCUCCGUAGGCUCUCUUCUCCAUUGGCUCUCUUCUCUUCCCUUCUACAACUCAAAUCUCCUACUUCAUCUUCUUUGUCCUCUUUCGUCCAUCAUCUUCAUUUCCAAGCUCCAUCUAUUAUUUCUCUAUGUCCCCUUCCUAUCACAAAAUAAUAAGGUAUAGUAGCAUAAGUUGACGCGAAGGGCUCUUUCGAAAGAUCAAUCCGUCUUGAUCAUCUGUGUUUCAAUUGAAGGUCAAACUGCUUCGGAUCUUUCGUCUGAUUCUAUUGAUGAAUUAAAGGAAACUGAAGAUAUCAACACAAAAAUUGGAAGAACUUAGAAAAGAGGUUUCUCAAAUAGAGGAGACGUCAGAAGAGAAAGAAAACCUUGUGGUUGAGUUGGAAAAGAAAGCCAAGCUAAAUCUCUUACCAUUGAUCGCGCUGGAUUAGUGACAUUGAAGUUUCGGUUGAAGAAUCUUUAUCUUUUUGAAAAGCUCCUAGUUAAGAUGGAUUCCAUUUGUUGAAUUGUUGAAAUGUAUCAGUCCUAUGAAGAGACAAAUUUAUAUGUUCCACGUGAUAUGCAUAUCAAUUCCUUGAAAGCGGAAAGAAGCUUGCAUUGUUGGGCACUUGAAGACAUUCAGAUAAUUCAUGUUGUAGAGGAAUUGGUUGUUGAAGAGGGAGGUGGGGUUGAAAUGCACAUUCUUGAGGAUGCCAGUCAUUGGGUGCAUGUUGAUAACCCACAUGAUCUCUUUCAAAUCUUGUCAUCCUUUUUCAAAGGGAUUAGAACUUGAGUGAAAGGAAGAAGAGAAACAUAAGUUGAGAUUGCCGAAACAUAUAAAGAUUAAGAUCGCUAGAGGGCAUAACUGAACAGGAAGUUGUGUGACUUUUGAUGAGUUCUUGCAUAAUCCUGGCAAUGGUGGUGAGUUUUUAGAGCUUUAUGAAUCUAAUAAUCGACCAAACUUACUGAAGCCGCCAUGAUCAAUUUUUUUCACUUUGAUUCUUCUCUUGUUCAGUUUAUCAGUUUUGUUGUAAUGUAUUGAGUUCUAUAAAACAGGAUCGUUGGUUCUUGUUUAGGCUUGUUCUCAAAGGAUUUUUUUUUCCUUUAUAGACAAAAUUGUAAUGCAUAUUAUUCAAUGAGAUAUUAUAUUUAUAGUUC